rnacentral:rRNA from 1 species
AUGGACGCCUUCUACUCGACCUCGUCGGCGGCGGCGAGCGGAUGGGGCUACGACUCGCUCAAGAACUUCCGCGAGAUCUCCCCCGCCGCGCAGUCCCACCUCAAGCUCGUUUACCUGACCCUAUGCUUUGCCCUGGCCUCAUCUGCCGUGGGUGCUUACCUGCACAUUGCCCUGAACAUCGGUGGGAUGCUGACAAUGCUUGCGUGUAUCGGAACCAUUGCCUGGAUGUUCUCUGUGCCAGUCUAUGAGGAGAGGAAGAGGUUUGGGCUGCUGAUGGGUGCAGCCCUCCUGGAAGGGGCUUCGGUUGGACCUCUGAUUGAGCUUGCCAUAGACUUUGACCCAAGCAUCCUCGUGACAGGGUUUGUUGGAACCGCCAUCGCCUUUGGGUGCUUCUCUGGCGCCGCCAUCAUCGCCAAGCGCAGGGAGUACCUGUACCUCGGUGGCCUGCUCUCCUCCGGCCUGUCGAUCCUGCUCUGGCUGCAGUUUGCCACGUCCAUCUUUGGCCACUCCUCUGGCAGCUUCAUGUUUGAGGUUUACUUUGGCCUGUUGAUCUUUCUGGGAUACAUGGUGUACGACACGCAGGAGAUCAUCGAGAGGGCGCACCACGGCGACAUGGACUACAUCAAGCACGCGCUCACCCUCUUCACCGACUUUGUCGCCGUCCUCGUCCGGAUCCUCAUCAUCAUGCUCAAGAACGCAGGCGACAAGUCGGAGGACAAGAAGAAGAGGAAGAGGAGGUCCUGA